UCCAGAGCUAUGAGAGCUAGCCUUUAAAGGAGGUGGCUUCCAGGCUGUUCAAGCCCUCAAUGGCCAACAAACUCUGUGUCCUGAGGAAUCUGUCAAUGUGGUACUUUGUAAGCUCCACAUAAAAAGCAAUGGCCGUGUGUAGGUAACCACAGCUGCUAUGUGCUCAUGAUU